GGAAACUUGUGUUCAACUGUACAUAGUGUUAACUGGCAGUCAGCAAAGCGCCCUUUCCUUGAAGGGAGUGAUCAAAUUUCUGUAAUAUUCUGAAAUCGUUGCCGCUGAGAGUUGAGUUGCUGAACUCGUGACAACUGGCUACAGAAAUUGACCUUCGUGAAGUUCCUGACGGUUAGUGGUAACAGACGUAGACAGAUGAACUUGUAAAGAAGUAAUGUAACCAGACAGAAGCAAGUUGGCUCUACCCUCGUCAGUGAAAUACAGCAACCUUCAACAUCAUGGCAAGACAAGGCCAAGUCCAAAGACAUUCAUUUCCAUGAUAGUACGUACUCCUAUUUCUGAUUGAGUCACAAAGUUUAUUGAAUGUUUUCUAAACACCAUCCACUAGAUUUUGUUAAGGAAGCCACCAGGCUAGGUACUGACCUAGCACCCUAGGUCAAGUUAGGUGUGGUUAGGUCUGGUUGCAACCUUACUUAAUUUACAGUGCUGAAAUUAGAUUAGGUGAGAGUUAAAUGCCCCUGGCCAGAAAAGAAUCCAGCAGUCUAGGUUAGGGAACUUAAAUCCCUGUAUUUCACUAGCUUCUUUCUCCUCCCAAAAAAUCCCAAUGUCCCACUAUGGCCAUCAUUAAUUGUAGUUAUAUCAUGGCAGUCAGUACUUCCACAUGCCACGAGUCGCAGAAUGUCCAUUUCCAGUGUCAAUGCAGAUUGUUCCCUUGUUACUGAUAUUCAAACUUGACCAAUUCAACCUUUUUAAUAAAAAAAAAAAAAAGGCAACAUUUUUAUUUCAGAUCCACAUCACACAAGUUACUUGUCACCAUUUCAAACUCAAAGCCGCAACAUGAUUAACUAUACUGUGUUU